AUACCAAUAUUAUUAGUAAAACUUACCUAAAAAAUCAGUAAAAUUUACUGAUGUUCCAAAGAAACCGACUUUACCCAUAUUUGAGUAAUUUCAUUUACCCAUAUAUGGGUGAAAAAAUAAUCAUAAACAAAUUCAAACUGUUUGUCUCCGUAUCAAUGUCGCGGUUAUUGGAAGUUUUAAAAGUUUUCCCAUUUUUUAUCCUUAAUGAUGUCCACGUCGAUAACCAUUUAAGUUCCGGGUCCAGUGAGGUUGCAACUUUCUUUUCCAGCUCCGAUCAGCAGCACCAUAUCGACCUCCUCGCAGGUGACGAUCGACGAUUUCACACCACAAAUCUAAGCUGAUUCCUGAACCACAGGUGCAGAACUUCUGCUCACCGCUGCGAGACGCUGACCCAAAACAGCUCAAUAUGUACAUAAGAGGUAACCAGUCGGAAUUUAUCAAUCCUCCAGCAACCGACUCGGUUUUGCUAUUGGGAGUUCUCGGCAUGCCCCGAGCAAUAGAAAAGCUGGAGAUCUCAUUCGACAUGUCCCAAAUUCGAUGUUUCACGAAAUAUAAUUCGGAUGACCACUGUUGUACGAGUGAAAAUAACGACACCAAACAGCUGCCCCGAGGCCGGCAGUUGCUGAAAGCUCCAAUUGAAUUUAUUUACUGGACGGUAAGAUGAAAAAUCUAGAUGGAUUCCGUUUAAAAUAGAGGAGCGCCAAUAGGGAAACGGAAUGUGAGCACGGAAGGGGAUGCUGAUUUGUACCAGGAACAAAUUUGUUUUGUUGAUAUCCAAUGCAGUGUGGUAGCAGCUACUGCUACUAAAAUAAUCUCCGGAUUGCAGAUUUUUGAUUCGAUUAGAUUUGACUGCAAUCAGUGGCAACCAUUUAUUUGAUUGAUACAAUAUCGUAUCUGCUCAUCUGGCACAGUUACCAUCUAGCAAGCUACCACCAGUUCAGAAUGGCAUGCCGUCAAACGUCCUCAUCAGUAGUUGAUGCUUUUAUUUUGUCUUCCGGCAUUUGCUGCGAUUGACACAACUCACCCUCGACUUCACCAUGCUGAUAGGAAGUUUCUGGACAGGGAUGUUUCGGUGCAUCCGGGUUACUGCCUUCAGGUUCUGCUGCUGGUAAUAGCAUCCAGCAUCACGGAAGAUGAAAAGUUGGUUCAAACUAUUUCAUGAAAAUGUAAAUUUAUAUACAUAGAUAAAUAGACUAUUUUGCUUUAUAUGUAUAUUACCUGGUACGAAUAAAAUAUUAUUUAUUUAUUCAUAAAUAAAAAUAAAAA